UACGGGGGGGGCAAGCGUUGUUCGGAAUUACUGGGCGUAAAGGGCUCGUAGGCGGCCAACUAAGUCAGACGUGAAAUCCCUCGGCUUAACCGGGGAACUGCAUCUGAUACUGGAUGGCUUGAGUUCGGGAGAGGGAUGCGGAAUUCCUGGUGUAGCGGUGAAAUGCGCAGAUAUCAGGAGGAACACCGAUGGCGAAGGCAGCUCGCUGGGACGGUACUGACGCUGAGGCGCGAAAGCGUGGGGAGCAAACAGG
rnacentral:rRNA from 1 species